CAAGUCGAGCGGACAGAUGGGAGCUUGCUCCCUGAUGUUAGCGGCGGACGGGUGAGUAACACGUGGGUAACCUGCCUGUAAGACUGGGAUAACUCCGGGAAACCGGGGCUAAUACCGGAUGCUUGUUUGAACCGCAUGGUUCAAACAUAAAAGGUGGCUUCGGCUACCACUUACAGAUGGACCCGCGGCGCAUUAGCUAGUUGGUGAGGUAAUGGCUCACCAAGGCAACGAUGCGUAGCCGACCUGAGAGGGUGAUCGGCCACACUGGGACUGAGACACGGCCCAGACUCCUACGGGAGGCAGCAGUAGGGAAUCUUCCGCAAUGGACGAAAGUCUGACGGAGCAACGCCGCGUGAGUGAUGAAGGUUUUCGGAUCGUAAAGCUCUGUUGUUAGGGAAGAACAAGUACCGUUCGAAUAGGGCGGUACCUUGACGGUACCUAACCAGAAAGCCACGGCUAACUACGUGCCAGCAGCCGCGGUAAUACGUAGGUGGCAAGCGUUGUCCGGAAUUAUUGGGCGUAAAGGGCUCGCAGG
rnacentral:rRNA from 1 species